CCGGAACCUGGCGGCGGGUUCCGCCCUCGCGCUGGGGCGGAGUCUCGGAGCAGUGCUGGAGCUGAAGCAUCUUUCACACCCUCCUCACCCUCCCCACCGACAUCAUGCUUCAGUUCCUGAUGCCAAACCUGGCUAAAAAACUUGAAGAGAUUAAAAAGGACCUGGAAGCCAAGAAGAAGCCCCCUAGUUCCUGAUGCCCACCUGGCACUGUAUUCUGGACCCACCAAUUCCGUCCCGGGGCCUGCCUUCUUCACAGCCACAUCCAAAGCUGUGUUCCUCUUUGGUCUCAGAGCCUGCGAGUUGCCUCAGAUCUAACACCGGCCCGAAGUCGAGUUAGCUCUUCGUUUCCAGCAUCUCCCCUCCCCCCGUAUCUUCUGUCCAGCAGCUUCUGAGUCCUAAGGCUGGAACUAAGGUGCUAGGUCAGCAAACACAACCGUAACUGGUAUUCACCUGUGCUCUGAGAGACCCCCGUGGUCAAGGAAUGACUGGCUUUGGAUAGCCGCUGCAUUCACUGUCUAGCAGUGACAGUAGGAGCUUGCUACACAAACCAAAUUUUGUUAAAGUAAUUAAAAUCAGUAUCUUCAAGCCAGUUUCUGGUGAAUUAAUCCAUUUGUUAUAUAAUGUUAUCAAGGAACUCCACGAUUGAUAAUUUAACCAAUAAAUUGUUUGCUGGUCAUUAACCAAAAAACUAUGAAUUCAGUAAAAAAAAAGAGAGAGAGAGAGAGAGAGAGAGAGAGAGAGAGAGAGAGAGAGAGAGAGAGAGAGACUUGGAAAAUUUAAAACAUGCAAAACGCAGUUCAGUCUGUUUAGUCUGUGCUUUUCCUUAACGAUAUCUUUGAACUGAGGCUGCUGUCAAAGAACCAUUCUUUAUGUUUGCACUUGACAGGACGGGCAGAUAAGCGAGAAGCUUUUGAUAAAGAAUGUUACUUUUUCUUUAAACAGUAACAUUUGUACUAACUGUGUAACUUUAGAGGGAUUUCCCUAAGGGAAUGUGGUCCAAAUGUGAUUAAAGUGAGUCUCCUGGGGGAGGUUCUGCCUCUCUCCACAGUGAAGCAUCUUCUCCCAGUCAGGACAGAUCCAAACAGCAGCAUCUCUAUUUAAAGACAGUCUCCCAGUGUUACCCAGGGUGGCCUUGAGCUCCAGGGCUCAAGCAAUCCUCCUGUCUUAGCUUUCGGGUGUUGGAACUACCGGUGUGCACCAUGGUGUGCAGCCUAGUCCAUAAUGUUUUUAAUUAAAAACUAUUUUUAAGGUUACCUAUUCUCACAGGAGAUGAUGGGAAAGUGAUUUCACAUGAAGGUUCUUUCUAGCCUCUGUCUUGUUCCCUGGUACAAAUCCUCAGACAAUCCCUGGUGUCACGUUCCUCUGUGCCUUUGAGAAAGAGUGUCUAACCACACAUGUGUUUUUCACACACAUGCACACACACGUGUGUGUGUGUGUGUACAUACACUUUUUGUCUCUUCCUUUCAUUUUUGUUUUUUACACAGUGUCAUAAAGCCCAUGCUUUAUAGUCAUUGAUAACCUUGAACUUCCGAUCCUCCUGCCUCUGCCCUCUGCCCUCUCCCCUCUGUCCUCUGCCCUCUGCCCUCUGCCCUCUCCCCUCUGUCCUCUGCCCUCUGCCCUCUGCCCUCUGCCUCUCAUGUACAGGGUUUAUAGGUGUGCACCACCACGCCCAGCUACUCUUUUUAAAGCUCUUUUUUCUGUUUCUUUCAUUUGCUUGCUUUUUGAGAGAGGGCCUCACUAUGUAUCCCUGGCUGACCUGGAACUCACUAUGUAGCCCAGGCUGGCUUCAUGUUCACAGAGAUCUGUCUGUCCUUUGCCUCCUGAGUGCUGGGAUAAAGGUGGCUCCAUCAUGCUUGGCUGGCUUUUUUAUUCUUGUUGGAGAGAGCAUCCCCUGUCAGUAUGUUAACCUUGCCCCUGUGCUUCCUGUGCACGAUUCCAUUGAAUGGGGAUUUCAUAAUGUGCUACCGAUGAGCAUUAGGUUGUUCUGUUGCUGGAGUGGUGCUAACCCUGAGCCUGGUGUCCAUAUCCCAGAGCAUAGCUGUACGAUAUCAACUGUCACAGUCUAGCUUGUUUAAGACAGGGUGUCUUGUUCCGGGAGGGGGGGGUGGUUGGGCAGCUUCACUGACAAUGCCUUUUGUGAGGAUAUUUUAGCAGACCAUAGAUUGCAAGGAUUAGUUAGAGACAGCUGUUUUCAGGAAGUAACAAUGGUCCCAGAUGGGAGUCAGAACAGGGCACUCCUACUUAGAGAUACAUUCUAUCCCUUUAUGCCAGACAGAGCAUAGCAGCAGGGAGUGGGCAAGUGGUGUGUUCUUCUGAGACUUUGUAACACUUACCUCGUGAGGGCUUCCUGGGGAAACAGAUGAAGAUAUGUGCUCUGUUAGACUAUGCUUUGCAAAUCGUCCUGUAAAUAGUAGAUAGCAGAGGGAAAAGGCUGCCUACCACACUACUUUCCUAUUUCUGCAGUCUCUUUAGAACUGACUUGUGAGUCGUGUACAGUGUAGUAGUAUAGUCUGGUUAGUCUCUUUCGAGAAUACAGAGGAUCCGGUAUCUAUUGUCCUCAUAACACCUGGCUCCCAAGACUUGAUUGUGAAUGACUAGGUUAUUAGCAGAAUGAAGGAUGGCCUCAAACGAAGAAAGAUGCAUCACCCUCGAGGCUCUUCAGAAUGCUGGAUAGAGGCUUACUUAACAGCUGUUUGCAGAAAAAGAACCAUCAUGACAGCAUUGUUGUAUGUGUGGCUGCCUUGGAAAUGAUGCUAGGGGAUUAGGUCUUUAUAUAAUAAAGAUUUAUUUGCAUUACCUUUCUGUGUGUGUCUGCAUGUGGGUGUGUUCAUGUGAGUGCAGGAACCCUGUGGAGAUGAGAGGGUCAGGUCCCAUGGAGCAGGAGUCACAGAUGGUUGGUUGGUAGCCACCUGAUGGGGCUGCUGGGAACUGAACUCUGGUCCUCUGGAUGGGCAGCACAUGCUGUUAACCACUGAGCCAUCUCUUCAGUCCCACAGUCUAUUUAUGUUAUGUACUCAAACUCAUGGGAACUGAGGGCUUCCCUCAGAAGUAACCUUAACUUUACUGAUAGAAUUGUUUCUUUAAGGGAAGCCUUCUUGAUUUUUGGCUCCACCAUAGAAAUGGGCACACCGUUAAUACAGGAUAGUUACAAGUUUGCGAUUUAGGAACAUUCUGGUUUUUGUUUGUUUGUUUGUUUUGUUUUUGCUGUACUUAUUUUCUGAUCCUUACCCACGCUAGGAGACCACUUGUUUUCAUGCAGAGAGCCACAUCCUCAGCCCUGGCUUUCUGUUCUGUAGCUCAGUUCUUGGGCAAGAUAUUUGCCAUUGACAUAAAUGUUGGUGGAGUCUGGAACUGUAAGUUGUAGGGGACAGGGGUUGGAAAUUGGUCAUGUGAGUGGGGUUGCGGUCCAUUUGUGAUCAUCUAAAAAAAUACUUGAAAAUCCUGGGGAUAUAAUUUAAGAAAACUUUGCCCUGGGUGACCAUAAGAGGAGAGUCGCUUGAAAUACUUCAGCAGUUCCCAUGACAUGUGAAAUAGAAAAGUUUAGUAUUGUUCGACCCCCUGUCUCCCCCGGACAGGGUUUCUCCGUGUAGCCCUGGAUGUUCUGUCCCAGGCUGGCCUUGAGAUCUGCCUGCCUCUGCCUCCCAAGUGCUGGAAUUAAAGGUACAUACCACCAUCCCCUGGCAUGAUUGUUGGAAAAGUAAUAACUACAUUAAACUUGAAAGAUAUAUCCCAGGGCUGGAGAGAUGGCUCAGGGGUCAAGAGCACUGUCUGAUCUUCCAGGGGUCCUGACUUCAAAUCCC
rnacentral:lncRNA from 1 species